GACGACCCCGGUGACACCGAAUGCUUGGUUCUGAAGGAAGGAGACAUCGUCAACGUAAGAUACAGUUCUUGACUUCUUCCGCUCGGCAGGCAGGAGUGAAGGAGAUGGCAGGAAAUGGCGGAAGUUACGGAUCGAGUGGUAGAAUACCGCCUCGCCAUUUCUCCGUUUACAUCCUGCCGGGUCCGCUGUUAAAAAAAGAAAUAUUUUUUUUUUUUUUUAUUGGCAGGUUGGCGCGAUAGAUCGUGUUUUGGCAGGGUGUACGGUUGUGUAGUUGAAUCCGGUGUUUCGGGUUGUAGAAUUACUGAUGAUCACGUGAUGUAAAUUUAAUCAAAAGGCAUCCAAUGAGAAUCGCUUGAUGUAACCCUCGAAUAUCUUAUUUAAAUUUCGAAAUCGCGUAUUGCCGUCGAGUGAAAUACUAUUCAACAUAAAUUUUAUAUUCAUAAUCGGAACAAAAUAAUACUCCGAUUAUUUUUGAUGACUGAUAUAAGGAAAUUAUUUUGGAUUAAAUCACGCGAUUUUUAGAAAUUACGGUAUUCGAUAUUCUAAAAGAAGCUAACUCGAUUUAAUCACGCCGUGAAGUCCUAGGUGACUUGAAACUAGAUUAUAGCUCUUCGAAAGCUGCGAUUACGUCACGUGGCAAAAACGGGAUUGAACGCAUUACGGAGUUAUAUUUUUGAUUUAUAUAUCCUUAGGUGCUGGAGCAGAGCUCGGACGGAAGGUGGAAGGGCAUUAUCUUCAACCCGAACCGGAC
rnacentral:lncRNA from 1 species